AAACUUUCCCCAGCAUCUCUCAGACUCCAAGUAACUUUCUUGCGCAAGCCAAUGGCACGCUCCAGCAGCGGCCAGGAAGCCUCUCUGCACAGAUCCGUACCAGCGCCGCCAGAGUGGGGACCACCGGGGCCAGGCUGCCGCCAAGGCUCCGGCAGGGCCGCGGGACACUGAGACCCCAGGGCCCCCACCGGCCCUCCGCCCUCCCUCGCGCGUCUCGGCCCCGCGACCGGCGUGCACCUUGGCAUAGCAGAAGCAGAUGAGCAGGAGCGGCAGCAGGUAGCCGAAGACGAAGGUGCACACCACGUAGGCCUUCUUGUGGCGAGGGUCGGGCCACUGCUCCCAGCAGAAGGUCUGGUUGCUGGCGCGCGGGUGGAAGAGGCCCUGGUGGUAGGCCACGGGCGAGGCCAUGGCAAUGGACAGCGCCCAGAUGCAGCCCACGCCCAGCAGCGCGUUGCGGGACACCCUGAGGGAGGAGGAGCGCCGCGAGUGCACGAUGGCCACGUAGCGGUCCACGGACAUCGCGGCCAGGGUGAAGAUGCUCACCAGCAUGGACACGGUGAAGAAGUAGUGGAUGAACUUGCAGAUGAAGGCGCCCAGCACCCAGGGUGGCUGUCCGUGAGAACGCCUCUCUCCCAGGAAUAACCCCAGGAAAUCGAGGCUGGCGACGCUCCCUGGAGUUUUGUAAAAUUGGCCGCCUAAUCCCACCCUCACCCCGCGGCCUGCUACAGAGGAGAGAAGUGCAAAGGGAAAGGGCCGCGUGAGCUUCUCUAUAGACGUGGCUGACAUGGAAGGGGAAGGCUGUUCACACCACCCAACCUCACUUCAUUUUUGCCUUGUAUUACUCAUCUGAGGGACAUAAACUGCAGCAGUGACAAACGAAAUAUUUUUAAAGUGAAAGAAAGUGUUUAGUAUCUUACUGCCGUAAAUGUGGAUUUGCCAGAAAGAAAUUAAGCCGUUUCGGUAUAGCAGGGCCAGUCACGUUAGCUUUGUAACCUUGGUGGUUCCCAGCUAGAGAGCUGACACUGAUUCCUUUAUUUGCGGUGAUUUGUCUGUUUUCACUUUCAAAAACACCGAUGCGUUUCCAGCAUUCACCAUCUGGUGACUGUCCAUUAUGCGCGGACGCAGUGCCUGAGGGGAUGGGUAAUCCAAAGACCAAAGAGGGCAGGGGCUCUUUGCCUUGAGGAGUUAAGGAAGUAGGAUCUUGUUUUUCUACCUUGCUAGCUCUGUUCUGCCUCAUUUCCAGAUAAAUCUUGAUGCAGUUCAUUGAACAUCUAUGUAUUUUAUCUACAUUCAUUGCUAGGGAGUUCCUUGCAAGGGAAUUGUUCUAUUCACACACAUUUUCUGGAAGACAAAAUUGAGUGUAAGCAACUUGCCUAUUUGGGUAUCCUGCUAAAGCCAAGAAUGCUCUUACCUGCCCCGACCUGAGAGAAUGCCUUGAAACUUCCUCAGGUGAUCUUGCCAAUCCGUAUUGCUUUUCUUCCCUGAGACGCUCUCCGACCCAGGCUUUCAAAGUAUCAUGUUGUAUUUGACAGCUCUGUUGCAUUGAAAGUUAGUAGUAAUAUGAUUUGGGAGAGUUUUUAAAUUAUGAACUAUUUUCACAUGAAACAGAUAUGAUAAAAUUACAUUGAAUACCAAUGCACCCACCAUCUAGCUUAGAAUAAUUUUUAAAUAUUAUCACUAGAGUUGAAGUCACUUUUAUAUAUUUUCCAGUCACAACCUCCACCUCUCCCACUAUCUCCAAGUAACCUAAAUUUGUUGUCUAUUAGUCAUUUCUUUAUACAUUUUUGGCAUACGCAUAUGAUCUUAAUAUAUUGUGGUGAUUUUUUUUUUUUUUUUUUUUUUUUUUGCUUUAACAUUAUGUGGUUGGUAUUAUGGUACAUGUUUUGUUUGUUUUUGCCUUAAAGUAUAAUUUGUCUGUUAUUGCUAUAAGUACAACAACAUUCUUUGCUUUGUAUUUGCCUGUUACAUCUUUUACAGCCUUCCUAUGUUAUGUCCUGCAAUUUAAAGGUAUCUCUUUAAUAUAGCACAUAACUGAAUUAUUUUAAAACACAAUUUUAAAAUCUCUAGUUUUUAACUGGUGAGUUUAGGUCAUUUAUAUUUAUUGUUAUUACUAACCUAUAUGGAUUUAUUUUUAACAUUUUAUUUUGUACUUUUUAUUUGUUUUCUAUUUCUGUGCUUUUUCUCUCUCUCUCUCUCUCUCUUUUCAUGACAUCUUUUGAAUUGCAUUUUAAAGUGUUUUCUCCCUCCCUCCACAUUCUUGGAAAAGGAAGAAAUAUAGUGUAUAUUUAUUGUUUUACUGGUUACCCUUGAGUGCCUACUAUGUGCCAGGAACUAUUGUAGGUUCUGGAGAUAGAGCAAUUAACACAACAAAGUACUUUCUUUUAUGGAUUUUACAUUUCAUUAUGGACACGACAUUUAAAAAUAAAUAAAAUGAUAAUGUCACAUGUGGUAAA